rnacentral:tRNA from 1 species
CCCCUGGUGGUCUAGUGGUUAGGAUUUGGUGCUUUCACUGCCAUGGCCUGGGUUCAAUUCCUAGUCAGAGAA